CACAAAGUUCUCGUGUUCCUACUCGUCUCGACUUGAUUUUUAUCCGCGUUUGCUUUGAAAGACACGUUUUGGUGCCACUGUCAUCUUCCAAGUUUGAGUCACUCCAGGAUCCUAUUUAAAUCGUUACAUGUAAACCCGUGACAUACACUACCUUGGACUUGGACUUGUCUGUCUGUGUGUUGUGUUUUUAUCCGUACAGCUUCGUUAUAAAUAAAGAGGAGCUUGUCUCAUA